GACGAACGCUGGCGGCGUGCCUAAUACAUGCAAGUAGAACGCUGAAGAGAGGAGCUUGCUCUUCUUGGAUGAGUUGCGAACGGGUGAGUAACGCGUAGGUAACCUGCCUUGUAGCGGGGGAUAACUAUUGGAAACGAUAGCUAAUACCGCAUAACAAUGGAUGACACAUGUCAUUUAUUCGAAAGGGGCAAUUGCUCCACUACAAGAUGGACCUGCGUUGUAUUAGCUAGUAGGUGAGGUAACGGCUCACCUAGGCGACGAUACAUAGCCGACCUGAGAGGGUGAUCGGCCACACUGGGACUGAGACACGGCCCAGACUCCUACGGGAGGCAGCAGUAGGGAAUCUUCGGCAAUGGGGGCAACCCUGACCGAGCAACGCCGCGUGAGUGAAGAAGGUUCUCGGAUCGUAAAGCUCUGUUGUAAGAGAAGAACGAGUGUGAGAGUGGAAAGUUCACACUGUGACGGUAACUUACCAGAAA
rnacentral:rRNA from 1 species